rnacentral:rRNA from 1 species
GGUCAAGUUAGUAAGGGCAUACGGUGGAUGCCUUGGCGCUAGGAGUCGAUGAAGGACGUGGCAAGCUGCGAUAAGCUUCGGGGAGGUGCAAGCAACCUUCGAUCCGGAGAUUUCCGAAUGGGGGAACCCGGCUGGGGUAAUGCCCAGUCACUCCUGCCUGAAUACAUAGGGCAGGUAGAGACAACCCAGGGAACUGAAACAUCUAAGUACCUGGAGGAAAAGAAAGUAAUAACGAUUCCCUUAGUAGCGGCGAGCGAACGGGGAACAGCCCAAACCGUCUAGGUGUUAAAGCGGCAGGCGUUGCUUAGGCGGGGUUGUAGGAGUCACCAGGCUGUGCUGCCCACAGUCGGAGAGUUACAAAACUCAUUGCUAGUCGAAUGAUUCUGGGAAGAACAGCCACAGAAGGUAAAAGCCCUGUAGGCGAAAGCAGUGGGACUCUCGGUGACCACCUGAGUACUGCGGGACACGGGAAAUCCUGUGGGAAGUUACGAAGACCACUUCGUAAGGCUAAAUACUCCCUAGCGACCGAUAGUGGACUAGUACCGUGAGGGAAAGGUGAAAAGCACCCCGGGAGGGGAGUGAAAUAGCACCUGAAACCGUAUGCUUACAAGCAGUCGGAGGAAGACUUAGUCUUCUGACGGCGUGCCUUUUGUAGAAUGAUCCUGCGAGUUAUGGUAUGUAGCGAGGUUAAGCUUAAAGCGUAG